AUACGUAGGGGGCUAGCGUUAUCCGGAAUUACUGGGCGUAAAGGGUGCGUAGGUGGUUUCUUAAGUCAGAAGUGAAAGGCUACGGCUCAACCGUAGUAAGCUUUUGAAACUAAGAGACUUGAGUGCAGGAGAGGAGAGUAGAAUUCCUAGUGUAGCGGUGAAAUGCGUAGAUAUUAGGAGGAAUACCAGUUGCGAAGGGGGCUCUCUGGACUGUAACUGACACUGAGGCACGAAAGCGUGGGGAGCAAACAGGAUUAGAUACCCUGGUAGUCCACGCCGUAAACGAUGAGUACUAGCUGUCGGGGGUUACCCCCCUCGGUGGCGCAGCUAACGCAUUAAGUACUCCGCCUGGGAAGUACGCUCGCAAGAGUGAAACUCAAAGGAAUUGACGGGA
rnacentral:rRNA from 1 species